UUCUGUUAUUGGAUUAAAAUACUGUCACUAAUUACUUACUUAUUCUGAAAUUAACAAUUAUGGCAGAACAAACUAAAUGUCAAAACCACUUCAUAUUAAUAUCACAUGUUACAGUGAGGCAAACCAACAACUUAGCAAUUUCAAAUUUAAAAACUAACAGCAUGUCAUAUAAGCGUAACAAUUCAGUAGUCCCUAGUUACAGUCCAUGUGCAUCUACCAUGUAUAUAUUACAACACAAAUGGCUAAUAUCAACUAUGUCUAAUUAACUAUUAUCUAUUUAGUGACAAACAUCAGAAGACAUCCAAACAUAUAUAAAGCUGGCAAACUCUUUUCAUUUCAACUUCAAUUUCCAUCUAGAUUGAUGGACUCAAGGGAAGAUACCUGAAAUUGAACAGAAAUAAGGAGGAAGGUCAGUAGCAGCAACAGCCAAUCACAAACAGCCCAAAAAAAGUUCAGAAGAGGUCAGAAUCAGGAGAACCAAUCGUAAACCACUUAAAACCACCCAAAUAAACUCAAAAUUGAACUCAGGCAAUCCAGAACACCUUCAGCAACAGAAACAACUAUACAACAACUCAAAUAGACCUCAUCCUGACUCCAAAGACCAAAUCAAGUAGUUUCAUAACUUCAAUUACUAAUUACUGAACUAGAAUGGCAAACUGGCAGCCAACCUCGAAUUUGAAUUGCAAAAUUCCAGUGGAACAGUACUGUUUUUCGUUUUUUUAUUUUUGUUUAAUUUGAAAACUACUGUAGAUCUAGAAAAAUUAGAAUGGCGAGAGCUUUUUGAGCUAAUAAUGUCUGGGAAAAAAAAGCUCUUAGCAAGGCUGUUUUGAUCCUUUUUAUAGGUGAAUUCAGGUCUUUGAAUUACCUCUUAGGUCCCUAUUCAAUUUCACUUUCAAUUCCUAAACUUCCUAACUGAUUUUGCAAGCUAGCACCCUCUUUAUUGAUAUUCCAUUAAGACCCUUU
rnacentral:lncRNA from 1 species